rnacentral:misc_RNA from 1 species
UCUCUCUCUCUCUCGCUCUCUCUGAUCAUGUGAAUUUGAACAUCCCACGAUGCAAGUCUUGAAAUAAUGUGAUAUUCAGCAUGUAUGAGGUCUGUCUAUGAACACACCUGUGUUUGGACUGCCUGAUUAUACAGAAGUUAAUGAGUUGGUUACAUGACUGCAUGUCGUAAAUGCAUUUUGAACCACCGUAUUACGUGCAAUUCCUUGGACUCUAGUCAUAUUAAUGAUCGUAGUGUUCGUUUUUUCAGUUCUUGGAAAUAAACCAUGACUUAUGAUGGUAAAUAUGAACUCGGCUUUGAGUACGAUAUUGCAACUUUAAG